rnacentral:rRNA from 1 species
UUCGGAUUGUAGUCCGCAACCCGACUACAUGAAGCUGGAAUCGCUAGUAAUCGCGGAUCAGAAUGCCGCGGUGAAUACGUUCCCGGGUCUUGUACACACCGCCCGUCACACCAUGGGAGUCGGAAAUGCCCGAAGUCUGUGACCCAACCUUAGGGAGGGAGCAGCCGAAGGCAGGUCGGAUGACUGGGGUGAAGUCGUAACAAGGUAAC